UAGCAACGUGGAGUGAGAUAUUGAGAGU
rnacentral:sRNA from 1 species